ensembl:lncRNA
AUGGUGCUGCACGGAUGUGGUUACAUUCAGUUUGAAACAGGAAACACACAGGUUCAGACUGCUCUCAUUAGUCCUUCAUUUGACUUCAGCAAUUUCCAUCAGAGCGGAGAUGGAGUGAGAGGCCUGAGCUCACUAAAGGUAUGAUUGAAGUUCAAAGCCAGCAAGGAGUUCUCCUUGCCAUUGUUUCUCUAGCCUGCCUUGGUUGUAUUUAUGCUCUCUGUCUGUGCUGGGGAAAGAAAUCUAGUAAGUAGUCUGACAUUACAAUACUUUCAGCUCCAAAAAAAUAAAAAUGCAGUUUGUUUUUCUCA